CGUUUUUAGUUAUUUUGUGCAUAGCCACGCUACUUAUCAAUGUUCUCAGUGACCCUGCUUUAGCGCCAUCUAGGAAAAUGGAGGCUAAAGAGCGAAAAACUCAAGAAAAACUCAUAAUCGUUAGAAGAGUACCAAGUGCCUAUUUCUACCCUUUUAGCCUGUGGCCAUUACCCAAAUAUCCAGCAGACGGUAGUGAAGAUUACGAGGGAUAUCACACGCGAAGUAUAAAAUACGUUCAAGUGAAGAAAAAUAAAA